GCUGCAUGGUCUGGAAGCGUCUGAGAGGCGGGAUGCGGGUCUGUAUGCGCUGGAUCAGGUGCUGGGCGGUGGUGCUUCGCCCUUUCGGGAAAUGCUACUUAACGGGGACUGCCCCGGGUGCAGGCAGACCUUCAGGAAUCCUGAGCCACAGCUGGUGGCGGUAGGACUGAGGAAUUUCUAAGAUCAGCGGAGGAGCAUUGCAAGGUCUUUGAAAACAGAGAAUCGUAUGUCUUCAUGAGCCGGUUGGUAUCUGUCUGAGUUUGGGGACUGCGCUCCAGGCUCUCCACCCAGACUGAUAUCAAAACCUAUGACUUAUUUUGCAAGUAACAUUAGGUAAGUUUUUCACCUCCGCUGAGCCCUGGGGGCUUAAUUGGAGGAGGGCUUGUGAAUGAGAACACCAAGGGAGAAUGGUAAGUGGCUCAGGUAACAUGUUUAUGGCUCCGUACCCCCACCCUCACCCCAGCCCACACUCCCAUUCUUGUUUUUCUGGACGAGUCUUACCUUUGGAUUGGAAUCACUUUCUUGAUAGUGCACUUGAUCUUUGCCCCCUUCACCUCAGUUGCCACCCCUGUCCUUCCACAUUCUGAAAACUAGAAUGUGAGUUCAGGAAGAAACUUGGGACAAGCCACUUAAGUCGAUUAUCCUCAGUUUUUCAGUGCUGUAAAAUGAGAAGUGAUAAUGGUAGGAAAAGCUUAUUGGAAGGUUGAAAGUUUCUUGGAAGGACUGCUGGAUUUAAGAUGUAUGAAUGUAAACUAAGUCUACAAAUAAAUGCAAAGUUGAAAUGCAAGUCUAUAGGCAAGGAAGCAGAGGAUUAAGAAAGUGUGACUUAUCCAAGGACAUGUGGCUGUGAAUUGGGAGGAAGAGGCUGGACUUGACUCUAAGGCCUCGUUGCUUACCCCAUCCUGAUCCUCUGCACUGUUUUUAGGGACAUCUUCCUUCCCUUCCAUGAACUUUCCCCCUUUCUUUUCCAGGUGUCUCCUGAAGAGCUACUAUGUCUGGGAACUGUGUAUCUUCCACAGAACACAGUAGCAGCAGCAGCAGCAGCAGCAGCAGCAGCAGCACCAGCAGCAGCAGCAGCAGCAGCAUCUGUAAACCGCAAACCACAAACCUUCGAAUGGCAAAGAAGAAGUGCUCAUGGGCUUCCUAUAUGACCAACUCUCCAACUCUCAUUGUUAUGAUUGGUUUGCCAGCCCGGGGAAAAACUUACAUGUCUAAGAAACUAACACGUUACCUCAACUGGAUUGGGGUACCCACCAAAGUGUUUAAUCUUGGGGUAUAUCGGCGUGAAGCAGUCAAGUCCUAUAAGUCUUACGACUUCUUUCGACAUGACAAUGAAGAGGCCAUGAAGAUCCGCAAGCAGUGUGCUCUAGUGGCACUGGAAGAUGUCAAGGCUUAUCUUACUGAAGAGAGUGGACAGAUUGCGGUGUUUGAUGCCACCAAUACCACUAGGGAGAGGAGGGACAUGAUUUUGAACUUUGCUGAGCAGAAUGCCUUCAAGGUAUUCUUUGUGGAAUCUGUCUGUGAUGAUCCUGAUGUCAUUGCUGCCAAUAUCCUGGACGUGAAGGUGUCAAGCCCUGACUAUCCUGAAAGGAACAGGGAGAAUGUGAUGGAGGACUUCUUGAAGAGAAUUGAGUGCUACAAAGUCACUUACCAACCCCUUGACCCAGACAACUAUGACAAGGACCUUUCUUUCAUCAAGGUGAUAAAUGUAGGCCAGCGAUUUUUAGUCAACAGAGUCCAGGACUAUAUCCAGAGCAAGAUAGUCUACUACCUUAUGAAUAUCCAUGUACAGCCUCGCACCAUUUACCUUUGCCGGCAUGGAGAGAGCGAGUUUAAUCUUUUGGGCAAGAUUGGGGGUGACUCUGGCCUCUCGAUGCGGGGAAAGCAGUUUGCUCAGGUUCUAAGGAAAUUUCUGGAGGAACAGGAGAUCCAAGACCUCAAAGUGUGGACAAGCCAGCUGAAGAGGACUAUUCAGACUGCUGAGUCCCUUGGGGUGACCUAUGAGCAGUGGAAGACCCUCAAUGAGAUUGAUGCUGGUGUGUGUGAGGAGAUGACAUAUGCCGAGAUUGAGAAGCAGUAUCCAGAGGAGUUUGCACUUCGAGAUCAAGAGAAGUAUUUGUAUCGAUAUCCUGGUGGGGAGUCAUACCAGGACCUGGUACAGCGGCUGGAGCCUGUCAUCAUGGAGCUGGAACGUCAGGGCAGUGUCCUCGUCAUCUCUCAUCAGGCUGUCAUGCGCUGUCUCCUGGCCUACUUUUUGGAUAAGGGUGCAGAUGAGCUACCGUACUUGAGGUGUCCUCUCCAUACCAUCUUCAAACUUACUCCUGUGGCCUAUGGGUGCAAAGUGGAAACAAUUAAACUCAGUGUGGAGGCUGUGAACACUCAUCGUGACAAGCCAACCAACAACUUCCCCAAGAACCAAACCCCUGUAAGGAUGAGAAGGAACAGCUUUACGCCUCUGUCCAGUUCGAACACAGUAAGGCGUCCAAGAAAUUACAGUGUUGGGAGCCGGCCCCUCAAGCCCCUCAGCCCUCUCCGUGCCCUGGACAUGCAAGAAGGGGUGGACCAGCCGAAGACCCAAGUCAGCAUUCCGGUGGUGUAAUUGUGUGUUUCCCUCCAGCUUUGGCCCCUUGCCCUUGCCACUAAUCACCAAGAAGUCAUUUAACUUCACCCCCAUUCCUACCCUCAACACCAUUAAUCUUAGCACAGAAUAUGCACCCAUGCGUGUGCAAAAUAACUUUAGCUAUUCUGAAGUGUUAAACAUCUCACCCAGGGGCAAGAGGCAAGUUGGGUCUUUUAGGACAGGUCCCUAGGUGGGGUGGUCUGGAGGAAGAAGAAAAGGAUAUAUACUCCCCUGGAGCCAAAAAUGAAUCACAUACUUGGUUCUUUUCUCUGUUCCCUGAUGUCUCAACUCACUGAUGUCCUUGUGUUGGUGAAGUGUUGUGUGUAUGUGUGUUUGGGGGUGGGGAGGCAGUGCUGAAUAGAGAGAGACACAAAAACCCAUUUGUCCUUCCACCUUUGUCCUUUUAAUGUGUCUUUACAGUCCUUACUUGACUUCCCUGUCUUAUAGCUUCUCUUUGGGAUAUCUGGUGUAAUGCAUGGUAUUAUGGUGUCUUAAAGUAAAGGAUAGCUGAUAGAAGUCUAGGCCCCAUUGAUGCUGUCUGCAGAGGGUCUGGACCUGCACUGGGAGAGUCUUCCCUCCCUUCUCGCUUCCUCUCCAGCCAGGUCCUACAAGGGUCAGCCCAGGCUACAGAACAUCCACAGAAUGCCCUGGAGUUUGCAAGUGGACAUAGGAAGAAGAGCUGAGGUAGUCCUGUUGUCUUCAGACAGGACAGGAGAAGUUGGAGUUGGAGUUGGAAAACAGCAGGAGUUUCAACAUCCUUCAAUUUUUAGAUCAAGAUCCCUUCAGAGAAAAGUUCAGCAGGAGAAGCCAGGAGAAUACAGAAUGGAACAGUGCUCUUAAUCCAGA